rnacentral:lncRNA from 1 species
GGGGAGGCACCACUAAUUUUUAUUAUUAUUUCUAUUUUAAUUGUUUUCCCUUUUAGUUUUUAACCCCCUCCACGCCCCCCACCCCACAGCGGGGGUGGGCGCAAAGCGAGGUGGGGGGAGAUCCACAUAUGAUCCCCCCAUCAUCGGGGCUGCUUAUGGGGAGGGGUCCCAUAAGAUGAGGGGAUGAAGGGGGGGGUCCGCUCGACAAUCACCAGGGCCCCCCCGGGGGGUUUCGUGCACUACAGCCUCUCCUCGAGGGUUUUUUUAGGCUCGUCGGCUUCAACCGUUAAUGAAUAGUCCUCGUGCCCUAUAAAUAACGCUGUACAUAGGAGCUCCCCCCCCCGCACACACACAUAUAUAUAUAUGGGGCUGCGGGGCAGGGGGGCCCUGCGGGCCGCACGCACCUAAAGGUACUUUAAAGCGCAAAGGAAUAUAUAUAUAUAAAUAUCACUAUAUAUAUAUAUACAUACCCCGCUAUAUAUAUAUGGCGUGUCCGUUGUCGGUUUGUUUCUGGUUUGGGUUUGUUUUUCCCCCGGAUUCUCGCUUCUCGCUUCGCCGCAGCCGUUACUGACACCCCGGGACACCCCGGGACCCCCCCCCCCCCGGUGCAUCACGAUACUCGGUUCUCCCGCCGCGCAGCCGCUGCCGAUCCCCGCCGCGGGGGGGAGGUGGGUUUUGGGGGGUUCUGUUUGUUUUGUUUCUUUUUUUUUUUUUUUUUUUUUUUGGGUUUUGGGGUUUUUCGGUUGUUUCUUCCCCUCCCCCCUAUGCAAAAAAAAAAAAAAAAGAGACAAAAAAGAAGAAAAAAGAAAAAAAAAAGCCAAAAACAAAACAAAAACUGACACGGGGAAAAAAAAAAAAAGUUAAAAAAAA